rnacentral:tRNA from 1 species
GGGUUGUUAGCUCAGUUGGUAGAGCAGCUGACUCUUAAUCAGCGGGUCGAGGGUUCGAACCCCCACAACCCA